GAUUACUUAACCUAAAUAAGGUACUUGUUUUGAAAACAAGUCAUAAGAGUUCAAAUCUCUUAGUAUUCU
rnacentral:tRNA from 1 species